AACAGUGGCUAAGACUGGAUAGGAAGAUAAAAGGCAUCUUUUAUCUUUUAAAAGACCUAGUAAUAGGUAUGCUUUAGGAGGGGCUUGCGCCAUAUUAGUUAGUUGGUAGGGUAAUGGCCUACCAAGACGAUGAUGUGUAGCUGGACUGAGAGGUUGAACAGCCACAUUGGGACUGAGACACGGCCCAAACUCCUACGGGAGGCAGCAGUAGGGAAUUUUCGGCAAUGGAGGAAACUCUGACCGAGCAACGCCGCGUGAAUGACGAAGUACUUCGGUAUGUAAAGUUCUUUUAUCAAGGAAGAAAAGCAAAUGGCGAACCAUUUGUUUGCCGGUACUUGAUGAAUAAGCCCCGGCUAAUUAUGUGCCAGCAGCCGCGGUAAGACAUAAGGGGCAAGUGUUAUCCGGAAUUAUUGGGCGUAAAGGGUGCGUAGGCGGUCUAGUAAGUCAGUGGUGUAAUGGCAACGCUUAACGUUGUCCGGCUAUUGAAACUGCUAAACUUGAGUUAGAUAGAGGCGAGUGGAAUUCCAUGUGUAGCGGUAAAAUGCGUAAAUAUAUGGAGGAACACCAGAGGCGUAGGCGGCUCGCUGGGUCUUAACUGACGCUGAGGCACGAAAGCGUGGGGAGCAAACAGGAUUAGAUACCCUGGUAGUCCACGCCGUAAACGAUGAGUACUAAGUGUCGGGUUAAACCGGUACUGAAGUUAACACAUUAAGUACUCCGCCUGAGUAGUACGUACGCAAGUAUGAAACUUAAAGGAAUUGACGGGACUCCGCACAAGCGGUGGAUCAUGUUGUUUAAUUCGAAGAUACCCGAAAAACCUUACCAGGUCUUGACAUGUUUUUGCAAAAUGAUAGUAAUAUCGUGGAGGUUACCAGAAACACAGGUGGUGCAUGGUUGUCGUCAGCUCGUGUCGUGAGAUGUUAGGUUAAGUCCUAAAACGAGCGAAACCCUUAUCGUUAGUUGCCAGCACGUUUAUGGUGGGGACUUUAACGAGACUGCCAAUGAUAAAUUGGAGGAAGGUGAGGAUCACGUCAAAUCAGCAUGCCCCUUAUGACCUGGGCUACAAACGUGAUACAAUGGCUGUUACAAAGGGUAGCUGAAACGCAAGUUCUUGGCCAAUCCCCAAAAACAGUCCCAGUCCGGAUUGAAGUCUGCAACUCGACUUCAUGAAGUUGGAAUCGCUAGUAAUCGCGAAUCAGCAUGUCGCGGUGAAUACGUUCUCGGGGUUUGUACACACCGCCCGUCA
rnacentral:rRNA from 1 species